rnacentral:rRNA from 1 species
GACGAACGCUGGCGGCGUGCCUAAUACAUGCAAGUCGAGCGAAGCGGCGGAUGGGUGAGUCACGCGUGGGUAACCUGUCCUUAAGUCUGGGAUCCCAUUUGGAAACAGAUGCUAAUACCGGAUACUGAAGGAUGGACCUGGGAUGAAUUAGCUAGUUGGUAAGGUAACGGCUUACCAAGGGGAUGAUGCAUAGCCGAGUUGAGAGACUGGUCGGCGACAUUGGGACUGAGAUACGGACCAGACUCGUACGGGAGGCAGCGGGGGGGAGUAUUGCACAAUGAGGGAAACCCAGAUGCAGCAACGCUGCGUGCGGAAUGACGUGCUUCGGGUUGUAAACCGCUUUCAGCCAAGACGCGGUAGUGGCAGAAGAAGCACCGGCUAACUACGUGCCAGCAGCCGCGGUAAUAC